rnacentral:rRNA from 1 species
GAUAAACGCUGGCGGCGUGCCUUAUGCAUGCAAGUCGAACGCACCGCAAGGUGAGUGGCGAACGGGUGAGUAACACGUAGGAACCUGCCUGGAAGUGGGGGAUAACUCCUCGAAAGAGGGGCUAAUACCGCAUACGGUCCUCGGACCAAAGCUUCGGCGCUUUCAGAGGGGCCUGCGGCGGAUUAGCUUGUUGGUGGGGUAACGGCCUACCAAGGCGACGAUCCGUAGCUGGUCUGAGAGGAUGGUCAGCCACACUGGGACUGAGAUACGGCCCAGACUCCUACGGGAGGCAGCAGCAAGGAAUUUUGCGCAAUGGGCGAAAGCCUGACGCAGCAACGCCGCGUGGGGGAUGAAGGCCUUCGGGUUGUAAACCCCUUUUGCGAGGGAAGAAGAUCUGACGGUACCUCGCGAAUAAGCCACGGCUAACUACGUG